AUGCAAUUUACAUGAAUAAGUGUGAGAAUAGUUGGUAAAACCCACUAAAUUUAGUCCAAAAUAUAUCAUAAAAUAAUGGUUUAUCAAUGAUAGAGUUCUUGUUGCAUCCCGUGCCUAUUAAUCCAUAGGUUUAAUUUUUUUUGUGCUAACAAUUAAAAAUUGUUUUCUCUUACUAAACCGAAUCACAAGCUUUUGAUAAAAAGCAAGCAAUUUUUUUAACAUUCAGAGCUAUUCAUUCAGAGUAUGAAUAGCUCUUACGUUCUGUGGAUAUAUAAGGUGUCAUUUGGGGAUUCUAUUUUCUCGGACUAUGUCCAAAAUGAACUCCCGCGUUCAUUAUUUCUUCCAUCAAUAAUCUUUGUAAUUGGUCCCCAUAAAGGAAGAGACAUGGUAUCCAUAAAUAAAAAAAAAAGUUUUUUGUUGUCUUGGUAAAUAAGAAAAGUUUUAUUUCGAUGCAGCCUUCUUUUUUUCUGAAGAUCAGUUUUUGAAACAUAGCAAGACAAUGUAAUUUUCUUUCUCUUUUUUCAUUUUCUUUCAAAAAUACACUCAUACUUUUAAAAAUGAUUGCUACAAUGUAAUAUAUAUUCUUGAAAUUAAAAAGCAAAUUCUCCACAAUUGAACAUAAGAUCUUGUAUUUUUUUCUCGAUUAAAUUCAAUUUCUUUUUGAUCAAUUUUAGUUAGUUGUCUUUGUUUUGAAGAUUGUAUUACCUUUUGAAUUUGGUACCAAAGGGUAUUUCCCCUCUCCUCUCAAAAAUAUUCUCUUGAGACCUAUCAACUAAUCCAUACAAUCCUAGAGAGCAAUUUUUGCCAAAACUAUAGUUUUUUGAAAAUUCACUUUGAAUAUAUAAGUUUGGAUAUUCAAAGAUGUUUUCUAAAAGGUUAUUCUCUUAAAAACAAAAAUCAUAAAUAAGAGUAAACCAUGAAAAUGCUCUAAAAGACUUGGUCAUUGAUAAAAAAAAUUAAAUCAUAUCUCCACAAAUCAUUUGCUAAUAAAAAAAACAUUUGUCACUUAUAAAAAAUAGUAAUUUUGGAUGCAAAGUUUCCCGACAAAUGUGUUUUGAAUUGAGAUGAGUCCAGCGAGAGGGGUUAUUUACUACUCCAUGGUACACUAUAUUCCGCAUCACAGUGGCUAUUUUUUCUUGAGGCGCAUAACUUAGCGAUGUUCCGCAAGGCAAUGGAUGGAAUAUUUAGUUUGUGUGGAAUGCUAGAAGUAGAUUGUAAAUGUUGUACAUCAGAAAAUGGGAUAAAGGAUGCGAAAAGGUGUUGUUAACAAUCCAGAGGUGGCUAUCUCAAAUGGAGCAUCGAAGAUACCAAAGCAUAUGCAUGGAAGGGUAGGCGUUGCACUUGUUGCAAACGCAUUGGACACAUAGAGGAAAUGUCCCAAAAGAAGGCAAGAAAGAACCCUCGAGCUGAGAACGAAUGUGUGGAUCUUUCACAAAUGGAGGUAGAUGGGGUUGUAACACAGACUGAGUUGAAUAUUAGGACCCGAGGAGGCAUAUGCGUUACAAAAACAUGGGUGAUGGACCAUAGACAUCGACCCUCAAACUAUGGCCUCAAUAAACGAUGACCUCUGUUUAAGUGAGGAGAAAGAGGAGAGCCGAAGUCAUCUCCCAAAACGGAUCGGGAGUAAGAGCUUAUGGAGUUGCUACAUCAAGUUCAAUAAGGUUCCAACAUAAAUUGCGUAGAUUUCGAAUAUAUUAGAUAGUCGUUAGGAACAGUGACCUUGCUGUGCAUGAUGGUGUACGCAUUUGAAUUUUAUGUAGAUUUAAGAUAUCAUUUAGCCUAAGAACAUUAAUUUUACUUUUUUUUCUUCGUUACUCUAAAUGCAUGGUCUUUUUGUCAAUGCACUUGCUUAAGAGUCAAUAAAAUGUUGGGUUAAUUGUGAUUGGUUUCUUUUUUGGACUUAGAUAUGGAUUGGGUAAAAACCCAACCCGCAUCCAAUUGAUCCCAACAAGAGAAAAGGGAAGCUGAUGCAAAUUGAAUGUUUUUCCCACCCAUCACCUAAUACUGGGAUUGGUUUGACGUGGAUAAUAGGAACAUUAUGCUGCCUAGAUCAUG